rfam:Methylobrevis pamukkalensis strain PK2 A6302_contig000037, whole genome shotgun sequence.
UCCUCGGUAGCUCAGCGGUAGAGCCCUCGACUGUUAAUCGAGUUGUCGCAGGUUCGAAUCCUGCCCGGGGAG